ensembl:lncRNA
CAGAGAGAAAUUGAACAGAAGUUUGAGGAACUCUUGUUGGAUUACCAGAUCAGUGAAAAUGAAAGCCUGCAAGAUGUCACAUUUGAAGACAGGAUGAGAAACCUCCAGACUGAGCUGACAGUCCAAUACUUUAGAGAGAAGCACCUCUCCCUUUGGCCUCUUUUUACCUUAGAGAAUGCCAUCAUGUAUGAAGAUCUCUCUCUAACUGAGAGGUUCUGUAUCCUUAAGGCCGUGACAGAGGUAACACUGGCAGGCAACCCGGAUGCCGUCAAUGGGGAUGUCCACCAACUUGAGUGUGCCAAGAGAUGUGUCUCAGACCAGCAGGGAGCUCCUUAGUCAAAUUCUCUUCAGUAACAUCUGGACACCUGUAGAAAUCCUGCUCUUUCUUCGUGGGGUUGGUUCCAUGGACCAGAAGAAAACAGAUGCAAUCCUUCAUACAGUGCAGACCUACAGGCUGGAUCUUCUCUCCACACUCUCUGCCCUUAGAAGUAAUGAUCCCAAUAAGACUCUGCAAGGUUAUGCAGAAGAAGAAACUGACAAAGAUAUUGACACCAUUUUGAGUGAGAUGCGGGAUGCAAAUUACCCCGAAAAGUUACUCUCUAUAAUGGAGACUGUCUUAGGACAUAUAGAAGAGAAGCUUUCAAAAGAUCCCAUGGUAGACACACAGAAGAAACUGAGCAAGAGAGAAAAAAUGGAAAUGAUCAAAGACUUCAAGAACAAAAUUAAAUUGUUGAAUUUUGCUGAGGCAGACAACACUAUCCUCAAGGAAGUUCUUAUUACAAUGUGUAUUGCUGUUAAAGACUGCACAGCCGUUUCCACUCAAAGUGGAGAGCAAAUCAAGGGAUAUUUUCCCAGACUCACCCAGCUGGCAUCAUUAGUCAUGCUCCUUCUACCAAAGGCAACAUCAGAUAAAGGAUGCCUCUUAGAAAUUGGCACAGGAGAAGGAAAGUCUUGCAUUCUAGCUAUGUUUGCAGCAAUCCAGGCCAUCAGAGGGGCCACAGUCGACAUUGUGACCAGUUCUCCAAUCCUUGCACGACGGGACGAAGAGGAGUGGAGAAAACUUUUUGACAUGUUUGAUAUCACAUCCUCCGUUGUGCCUCCACCGUUGAUGAAGGAGAGCAGCCUUAAAAGCUGUGACAAAAUACUACAGGACGCUUACAAAAGACAGAUUGUGUAUGGAACUGUAAGUGACUUUGCAGCAGACACUUUGAGGCAGGAAUUUGAGAAAAACACCACUCGUGGGGAGAGGAAGUUUGACUUAGUGAUUGUGGAUGAAGUAGAUUACAUGACCUUGGACAGUGGAGUGCAGGUGACCUUCCUGUCUCAUGAAGCCAGCGGCCUUAGGCACGUUGAGCAAGUCCUUGCUAGCAUUUGGUGCAUGAUAUCCGUGUGUCGGCCUAUUCGAAUGGAAGAAACGGGGGAGACUGAGUGGAUAACUGGGAUACAGCAUUUUCACAAGGCUGCAAAGAUGGCUGUUAUGGGCUCAGACAGAUCUGAACACUUUUCUGAAUUUAAUAUUCUGCAAACAGGGUUGCAGUUUGGAUUUUACACACAGGAAGACAUUGAUACAUUGAUGCAGAGUGAAAGUGAGGCACAAAGAGAUGGUAAAGCUGAUGAUUUUCAAGAUGAGAAUUGGAAAGCUAUUGAGGUGUUCAUGACUAAAAUUGGAGUGGAACAACAAUAUGAUCUGCUCAGUAUUCUUGAGACGGCAUUAGAUCAAACUGUUUUCAUCGACUGUUACACAUUAACAAAUAAUAAAGCCACAUCAAUUGGAGAGAAAAAAAGGGACAGUGACAUGAAAAUCAAAAUGCUUCUCCUCAACAAUGGACGAGCUAGUGAAAUAAUGUCUGAAAAAUCACUAAUUGAUGCAGUUGUUCUUGAGAUACAAUCUAAAAUCAUAUAUUCUGACCAAUGUCAGCCAAACUCAGAGGAAACCGAUAACUAUAUUGUGAUCCCCUUCUUCCUUAAGAAGUACAUUGAGAAUCGGAUGCCAGUCUUUGUGGGAAAUGCCUUAAAAGCUAUUGCAAUGAAACAAGGCAGAGAGUACAUGAUUGGCAUGUCUUCUGACGCUAAUCCAAGCACUGUCAGUGAGUCUGACAAACAUUUCUACCAUGCCAUCAUCCCAGUGGACUACCAGGCCAGUGGAGUACUGGAAAAGAACAAACGCUGGGGUGACGGCCUUCAACAGUUUCUAGAGAUGAAGCACCAGUUGGCCAUAUCAUCGCUAUCCAAUGUUACAAAUUAUAUGUCAAAUAUCCAUUACUUUAAAAGAUACCUUAAAGGGAGUGGCAUAUUUGGUGUUUCUGGAACAUUAGGUGGAAAUGCAGACAAACACUUCUUGAAAAGCCAUUACAAAUCAGACAGCUAUACGAUACCUUCUCACAGGCACAAUAAGGUAGUUGAACUCCCCGCUCUUCAGGUAAGCGGUGAUGACUUAAAAUGGAUAGAGGUAGUCUGUGAAAGUGCAUUGAAAGCUGCCGACAGGAACCAGGUCGUCUUGGUGGUUUGUGAGGAUGUUAAGACAGCAAAUGAAUUACAGGUGGCAAUGGCCAACCGAAGAGCAAAUCAACGACAUCCAAUCACCAUGUACACAAUCAGUGAGAGAGACAACAUUGAGCAAACCACAUUCAGUGGGGGAAGCAUCAUUAUCGCCACCAAUCUGGGAGGACGUGGCACAGACAUUAGAUUGGAGCAGAAAGUGAAUCAAUGCGGCGGACUCUUUGUCCUUCUCACGCACUUUCCUGACAAUCGCAGAGUGGAGAAACAGGUGUUUGGACGCACAGCCAGAAAAGGAAAUUCCGGCAUGGUACAAAUGAUACUCCAUUGUGACCAACUGGCACCAGCGUACCAGGGCCAGCCUGUGGAGAUCAUGAGGCAGCUAAGAGAGGAUCAUGAAAUCCAACGCAUCACUGGUAUGGAGACAAAUGAGCUGCAGGAAAUUGAAAGGAAGGAAAAAUUAUUUUCAACAGUUUGCCAAUUUCUUGACAAUUUUGACAGCAACUACUCAGAAAAAGAGAGAGAGAACCUGUUGACAAUAAAGGUGGAGGAACAUAGUUUCAGACGUCAAGGCGAUAAGCUUGAUUACCAGCCAGCACUCAAUGCUCUGAAAGAAUCCUGGGCAUUGUGGUUGACCCUUCAUGAGACCCAUAUCGAGAAGGAUGAUGAUAUCUCUGACUUGGAAGCAGACUUACUUCAACAAUUGACAAACACAAGGAACAUGAUGUUGAAAGGACAAAGCCGAAAUUUCUAUGACCAUCUGAAGCAGGCUGUUGUUAGAACCAACCUGCACUGCCGUGAUAAAACCAAGUGGGACUAUGAUGCAAAAUCUUCCUGGCAGAAAGCUGCAAAAUGUGACCCCUUUUACAGAGCAGUGGCGCUAUACAACCAAGCUUACAUCACAAUUAACCUGGCAGAGAGUGACCAUAAAACAGAGGCUAGUAAAUUACUGCAGGAAGCAAAAGACACACUAGGUAUCUAUAUCUCUGAAACAACAAACACUUUGAAUGCAUGUCAGAUGGCAAUGAGGGGCAACUUUGAGCCACAUCAUGAUGGUGUCUGCAAUUUCCAAAGUCAGAUGCAAUCUAGGAUGAAUAUUUUCCAAGCAUGGCUGGGAUACAUUAACAGUACACUGAAAAAACUUGCAGAGCUAAAGAACAGUAAAAGUAGCGCCAUAACAGAGGAUUCCUCAGUGUAUGCACUCUCAGACGGGACAGACUAUGUCACCACAAAUGAACUCAUGGGCCUGUAUGAGUACGGCCUUGGCAUGGUGUUCGAAGUAAAAGAGAAGCCAAGGUUCAACAUUGAUGCUCUUGUGUGUUUUUUACUGGGUGCAUGUCAGGUUCUGGCUGGAGUUCUUGUUUGUGCUCUGUCCUAUGGCUCCGCCUCCCAGUUUGGUCUUGCCUUGAUCUCAGAGGGAGUGUCUGACAUGAUCAGUGGGUGUGAUGGCAUGAUAACUGGCAGUUUCAGUUGGGCAUCGUGGGCCAUCUCCAAAAGCAUCGGUAUUGGGAUAUCUUUGCUCACUUCUGGAUUUGGCACCAUCAAGAGAGCUGUCCAGUCUGUAUAUAAAGCCACAAAAGGCUUGCUAACAGGUACAGUGAAGAAGCUGGGCACGAAAACUGUAGUCAAACAGACUUUCAAACAUGCAACCAAGUAUGCAGGACAGGAAAUGGCUAAGCAGAUAGUUACCCACACAUUGCAUUACUUCAUUGAUGCAGGGCUUCAAGCUGUACUGAAGGAGAUUUUGAACAAGGCUUUCAAGGAUUCAAUCACCUCUGUAGUUAAAGAGAAUGAUGCAUUGAGUCACACUCUCACAGAGCUUGUAUGUGCUGGAGUUCCAAAAUCAGCUUUACAGAAACAAGCUGCUGAGUUCAAGAUAGACAGGGAGUGUGAAAAAAGUAUUAAAGAUUUAGUAAAAUCAGUGACAGAAAAAAUUAUUUCUGAUCUUAUGAUAGAUUGCAGCACAGUGCAUGAGAUCAUUGACAGAGUCUCUCAGGUGUGUAGCAAAGCGUCAGACCUUAUGGACAACGCAGGAGUGCCUGGAAAAGUCCAAACUGCUAUCUCUGCAAGCCUCUGCAUAGCAGAGUUCAGUACAGUGCUAGUCCAAAUGUUGAACUCUAUCCCUACAGAAAAAUGUAUCAAUGACAGAUUCUCUUCCAAGUUGAUAAAAGAAAUUCAUGCGCAACUGCCAAAUGGGUAUGACCAGGAUGGCAGACACAGACUCCUUGAUGUGGGACGCCUGAAGAAUGAGCUCCUCGAGGGCAUCUCAGAGAAUGUCUCCCAGGAAUUUAUUGAGUCCUGUGCCAGACACAUGAACUCCUUGAUAACACAUAUUUUUAAGGAAAAGAUCAAUAAAGUCACGAACGCCAUUGGCAAUACCACUAGCAACAUGCUUGGCAGGUACAAAACGGAAAACUAUUUCGUAGAGCAGAAGCAGAGGCAUGACAUGAAAUCAGCCAGUAAGCAUGCAGGGGAGUCUACAUGUGAGAUUGAACAGUCGGACCUCCAUCAUUACAUCAAUAACAUCAGUGAUAUUGACCGCCCUGCUUCAGAGCUGGACAUCUAUGUCCUUACAAAGAGUGACCUACUCCAGGGCCAAGGCAUCAGGGUCAAGGUAGUGGAUAAACAUGGGAAACCACUCGAUGAGCAAUCCUACCCAGGCACUGACUGCUCAGCAGGAUACAUCACACUCAAACUGACCAUGGAGCCAGAGACAGCUAAAAGUGAGAUGGGUCUGUUAUCUCACAUACAAGACCGAAUCCAAGGUGUUCAAACUGCGUACAGCGGCCAUUUUACCAUUGUUCAACCAGAUGGAUGUGAGACCAGGGUGAUGUCAGAGGGCCAGAAUUGCAUGUACCAUGCCUUAAUCCAGGCAACAUCCAGAAGCCAGGAGCAGGACAUCAAAGAACAGGCAAGGAUUCUGCGCAAAAAAGUACAAAGCGAGGUUCAGGAAAACCUCCCAACCUACUGUGAGUUAGUAAAACUCCAGAAGCGCUAUGAUAAUGUUAUGGAUCCUGGAAAAUAUUCCAUAUUGGGAGGGGUAAGGCCAGAAAAGAAGAUUAUCAGCCAGGACUACAGGGAUGCCAUCGCACCUAUGACGGAAACCGACUAUAUCAUUGCCCAGCUUUACGACCUUGGUUAUGUUGCCACAUACAAAGAUGUAAGAAACACCAUAUUGUCUGGAAGGUACGCUGUGGAAGCCGACCACAUCAUACCAAAGGACACAUUAAGGAAGGCACUAGUACACCGUGACUUGGAAAAACUCAAGAGUUCUCUACCAACAUCACCGCACUGCCUUGACAACUGGCAAUUGCAUGGAGGCCAAACUGUGCAGGGCACUGCUGGCUGA